GCGGGCUGGCAGUGCGGCAGCCAACGGAGGCAGGCUGGAGCAGCCGCGGCCCAACGGGGGGUUGGACUGAACUGGGUAGAGGUGAGAUAAGUCACUGCAGGAAGAUCCAGCACCUAUGCUUUUCCUCAAGAUUUCUGCUAUCCUUGCACCUCAAGUUAGCGUGGUGAGGAAAGGAAGCCUGAAGGAGUAUUUAUCUGGGAAGCCUCUGGAACUGGCACCAGUGUGUGAAUCACCUUCUUGGAGAUCAAAGCAGGGCUGCGAGGACCCUUCGUUCACGGCGAGAUACCCAGCUGCUCACAACAAGCAGUGUUCUUUCUUCAUCUGAGCUGAGCCACAAGAAAAAUCUGCUGGGAAAUUAAACCAGCUUGCUUAGAGAUGGUUCCCAAAGUACGGAGAUGAUGGCAGUGUCAAGUAUGUACACCAGGUUAGUCUCACAGUUUGCACUUUUAUCAUAUAACAACACAGGUUUGCACAGUACAAAGUGAUAACCUUAAUCCAGCCUACAGGGAUGAUUGACAGCACAGCAGGGACAUAGACAGUAAGGUGCUACAUAACACAACUCUGAGAACAAGCACAAGUCUGAUUAAAAACAACAACAAAAUCAACAGCAUUGUAAUGAGUAACUACUAAACUAAAAAUAUGUAUAUAACAAUUUUGUUUUAACAUGCUGGGGUCAGGUAUGUCAAUCUUUGAGGUCCCUUUCAAUCCAAGCCAUCCUAUGAUCCUCUAAUCUAUAAUUCUCUAAUUCUAUGAUCACAGCCUCAUGUUGAGCACCUAAAGGACUGUUGUGAUUUAACCAGCAAGCAGCUCUGCACCCUGCAGUUGUUCACUUGACCCCUCUGGCAGCGGGAUGGGUGAGAGAAUUGAGGGAAAAAAAAAAAGGCAAAACCUGUGGAUUGAGAUAAAGGGAGAUUAAUAGGACAGAGAAGAAAGGUAAAAUAAUAAUUACAAGGAUAUAAGAAUACACUAAACAAGUGAUGCACUGUGCAAUUCCUCACCACCCACUGACCGAUGCCCACACAACCUCUGAGCAGCAGCAGCCACCCCUGGUCAGCUCCCCCCAGUUUUGUUGUUCAGCUCAAUGCCAUAUGUUAUUGGUCAUGCCUUUGGCCAGUUGGUGUCAGCUGUCCUGGUUCUAUCCCCUCCCAGCUCCUUGUGCAUGUGCAGCCCUUUGCUGGCAGGGCAGUGUGGGAAGCUGAAAUGUCCUUGGCUCUGUGCAGCGCUGCUCAGCUACAACUAAAACAUGCAUGUGCUAUCAACAUUAUUUUCAUCCUAAAUGCAAAGCACAAGCUACUGGGAAGAAAAUUAUCCCAGCUAAAAACAAGACACUCAUAGAUGAGAAAGCUCUGUCUUAGCAAGAUACCUGUGCAAAACAUUACCACGCAACACAUUUACAGCCGGAACUUUUCCUUCUUCUCUCAAAAUAUCCAAUAAUUUCACUUCCUCCUCAAAUCUUUUUCCGUAGUUAUCUCUAUCACAUAGCUGCAAGAUUUUCACAGCACAGACAGAAAGGCCUGCAUGUUGCUUAGCAAGUUUCUGAGGAGAGGUAAAAUGUCAUGAUUACCAUAGAAAGAGGUAUGGUAAUGUUCUCUCAUCAGAUGAGAUGUGUAAUAUUACCCUACCUCUUCUGUAUUAGAUAAGAGAGCCUGAAAGCCCCAAUUAUCUGUCACUGGGAGCAUUGUUCCUGCAGUACUCUAUACCAGACAGCAGUAGGCAAAAACAGUCCGCAGGGCCCUCCCGGAUCCUUACAGGACAGCAUCUGGCCAUGGAGAUGGAAGGGAGGAUGUGAAAAUGGUGGUCUUUGAUCUGAUAGCGUGAGACUAAAUUCUGGUGGUAAGAUUGUUAUCCCCUUCCAGCAGGAGAGCUGGAAAGACCUGGGCACUGGGGAGCAGCUGUCGUGCCGAGGGACAGAUCACAGCAGAGAGCUGCUGAAGGUGCUACCCUAUGCUCAGCUCUUCAAGCUGUCAUCUUUGUGUUGGAACACAGCACCUUCCAGAGUUGUAGAGCUUCCCAGUAGCCCAGGGGGCAGACCAAGACAUUUCUUUGUACUUUAGGUGAGCCUAAAGGCUUCUGAAAGCAUAAGUUCACUGCAGCUUAAAGUUUGCUGUCAUUCUGCCUCACCUCCCAUGCUUGUGUUGCUGGAAUGUAAGUACGUGGUGGCCCUACCAGCUGGCUAGCCCUGCUGAAUUUGACCUCUGUGGCUGGAUCAAUUUUCAGUGGGGUCAGUUCCCUGAGCUGCCUCACUACCCUGUGGCAUAAACCUGACCUCUGAGGAUGGGUUAGGGGAGACUCUGACAGGUCUAAUUUAGAUUAUUUUAAACUACACAACUGCAUUAUCUAUGCAAAACCUCCUUGUCUGGUUACCAUUUCCACCAGCUAGAAAUAAAAGGCCUGCUGAAAAAUCCUUAAAGAAUUCAGACUACUUUCCAAUAAAAGCCCCUGUAAUCUGUCAGGGAAAAAAAAACAAAACAAAACAUACUGAAAAGAAGGAGAGGUGGAAGUUAAAACCAGAUAAAACUGUAUGGCCCUGUAGCUGCAAAUUUAAGUAACAGAUGUGGCAAACUACUAUGGUGAAACACUGGGUUAUUUAAAUCUUGAGGUGCUGAAUAAAGUCAGGAGGCAACUAUGUGUUAGUGAAGGGACUAUGAGUUUGAUGGCAGGGACAUAUUAUACAGGGAUUGGAUGAGUACUAAGAGAUGUUUAAUUGUGUCUGUGGGCCUUCAAACUGUAAAUUUGUGGGGGUGAACAGUAGCAUCUGUGACUGUUUUUGCAGUGACGGAAGCGGCAGACAGGGCUCAUGCACAGAAGGGAGGUGUGGUGCAGGCACCGCACCCUGUGUGCAUCAUUUCCCAAAGCUGGGGAUGGUGAGAGAACGUGAAAAACCUGCAAUUUCAAAGUGAAAAUCUGUAGUGGGGGAAAGUACAUGAUUUGUGGGGCAGCUUUGUGUGUCUGGGGCUGUGCUCCCUGAACAAUAUAUUCUCUUUGCCUCCCUUUGCUGUGCUUGCCACCUGCAGCUUGAACAUAUGGUGAUGGAUCCCGAGUUUGCUCACAGCUCCCAAAAUAGAAUAAAUGUUAUUUUCAGUUUGCAAGGUUGAUUUGCAAAUCAGCCUUCUCCACCAACCUCUGCCUCCUCCCCUCUUCAGUUCUUGUCUUCUCCUACACCACCAAAAUUUCUAACCGUUUGUCCUCCCCCGGGUUCUGGGAAACUGUGACUGAUUAAAGCUGCUUGGGCAAGCUCAGGUGCAAGGCAAAACAAAUCGGAGGACAGACUGCUGCCCACGCCCUCCACUAAGCACGUUCCACCUCAGCAUGUGCUCUGAGGGAAGGCCUGGGCAGGAGAAACUUCAUGGAAAGGAAAACCCUCAUGUACACAUAAACCAAUUCAUGAGAAGAAGAGUCUGCAGCUUCCAGAUGGCAUGUGGCGAAGCUGUGCCAGGGUGGUGGAGUCACCAUCCCUGGAGGUGUUCAAGAAAUGUAUAGA